rnacentral:rRNA from 1 species
GACGGAGGGUGCUAGCGUUGUUCGGAAUCACUGGGCGUAAAGGGCGCGUAGGCGGCUUCAGGUGUCGGAUGUGAAAGCCCGGGGCUCAACCCCGGAGGUGCAUCCGAAACUCUGGGGCUGGAGGCCGGAAGAGGAGGGUUGAAUACCCAGUGUAGAGGUGAAAUUCGUAGAUAUUGGGUGGAACACCGGUGGCGAAAGCGGCUCUCUGGUCCGGUCCUGACGCUGAGGCGCUAAAGCGUGGGGAGCAAACAGU